CUCACCCCCUGUCUUCCUAUAGAGCACAAGUCUGGCUUCUAGAAGCCUCUCCCACUUUCUACACUAGUAAAAAGUGAAAGUUUCACCAAAAGUUCAAUAAGAAUGUACAGCCAAAAUGAAUUAUCUUCCCCAAUAUUACAGUAUUUCACUGCAAGACGUGAAGAAUUAUGCAGCCGGAAUAAUUUAUAUGGCUACGGAGAAGCUCAUGUUAAGAAGGCUAUGUGCAGGCAGGAGAGAAAAGUAUAAGAUGAUUAAUCAGAGGAAUACAGGUAAGUGACGUAUCUAUUACCAAUAUGCCGUGGGAACAUUGAGGAGGGGAUAUCAAACACUGAUGAGAUCAAGAAAAGCUUCGUCUGACAUGAACAGUUUCUCAGACAUUAGGAGAAGGGCAUUAUGAGCAAGGAUCAUAGCAUAUGCAGAUCUCUGGAAGCGAGAAAAGUCUGGGAUUUUCUGGGAAAAGGUAUUUCAGAAUUGUUGAGGCCCAAGUGUCUGUCAGGGAGUGGUAGGAGAUGAGCCACAAACCACAGCUAGUAAAGCAGCACUAAAGGAAUUGCCAUAUGAAUCAAAGCUAACUCACCAUUUUCCUGGCUCUCUGAAUCAUCCCAGUGUUACAGAGUUUCCUUAUUCUGUGUAAUAAACAGCCUUUGUCUAUGAGAAGGAAAUGCACUUCACUCAGUCUAUUAUGACUGGCUUUUUCUGGAGGAUGAGAGAGGGUUUAUAGUAUCGAUACAAAGUAAAAACUGCUUACUUUACAUUUCUCUUAAAAAUAAAUAAGCACAAGGGUGCCUGGGUGGCUUAGCUGGUUGAGUGUGGGACUUUUGAUCUUGGCUCAGGUCUUGAUCUCAUGGUUGUGAGUUUGAGCCCACAUUGGGCUCCAUGCCUACUUUAAAAUAAAUAAAAGUAAAUAAAUAGGUGCAUAAAAUUUGCCACACACACACACACACACACACACACACACACACACACACAGAGAUAUCUAAAAGAAGUACAGGGACGCCUGGGUGGCUCAGUGGUUGAGUGUCUGCCUUUGGCUCAGGGCAUGAUCCCAGAGUCCCGGGAUCGAGUCCCACAUCGGGCUCCCUGCAUGGAGCCUCCUUCUCCUUCUGCAUAUGUCUCUGCCUCUCUCUCUCUCUCUCUCUCUCUCUCUCUCUGUGUUUCUCAUGAAUAAAUAAAUAAAAUCUUAAAAAAAUGAAAGAAGUAGAGUUCUAAGUAAACAAUACAGAUUGUGAAGGUAAUUGCUUGCUCAGGAAAGGAAAAGCUUUCCAAUAAAUGGUAACAAAAAACUAGAUAUCCUUUUUUUUUAAACAACCUUGAUCUCUGCCUUAUUCUAUACCCCCAAAUAAAUUCACAAUGGAUCAUAUACUUAUGAUCUAAAGCUAAGACAAUAGAGCUUUUGGAGGAAAACAUGGAAGAAUCUUUUUGAUCCAGUAGUAAGUAAAGGUUAUUUGUGUCAUAGAAAACAAUAACUAGAAAAGAUAAAACAAGAUAAAUUAGACUUUGUUGAAAUUUAAAACUUCUGGUUAUUGGCAGGCAGCAUUAGAAAAAUAGCCACUGGCUUGAAAAAAGUAUUUGUAAGACAUAUAUAUGACAAAAGAUGGGGUUAAAAAUGUAUAAAGAACUCUUACAACUCAAUAAUAAAAACACAAACAACUCAAAUUAAACAUAGGCCAAAUAUUUGAACAGGUACUUUAUAAAAAGAAAUUACCGGAAUGGUA
rnacentral:lncRNA from 1 species